rnacentral:tRNA from 1 species
GUGGGAGUAGCUCACUGGUAGAGCACUUGCCUAGAAUUCGAGACCCUGGGUUUGAUUCCCAGUCCUUCA